CUGCGACCGCACUGAAAAGAAUUUCAAACCGCAUUUUUUUUUUGCAGUGCGGUGUGUAGGCAUAGCAAAAAGAUCCAUUUAUUCAGGUCGAUUUAGUGAUCCGAUCUGACGAAUCAUUACUGAUUCAAAAUAUUUUGAUACUUAUCGGAUCUUGGAUCAAAUCCGUUCCGCGCCGCUUAAUUUUUUUACGGAUCGGAUCUGACCCGAUCCGUUUUGAAUAUAUAUUUUUAAAAAAAAACGUUUUUACUUUUCAAUAUAUUUAAAAAAAAAAAAAAAUUAAAUCCCUUACUCCCUUACCCUAAAUUAAAUCCCAAUUUGAACAAAUCUUAAUUUAAUUUUAUUCUCCUUAUUUUCUCAAGAAAAUCCAAAACUGCUGGAUCUGAGCAGUUCCAUGAUCCAUCAAUGGCUUACAAACCUUCAUUGACCUGCUUUUCCGACCGAACUCCAAAACAGCCACGAGGAAGAAGAAGCCACGUCGCCUGAGGAAGACCACCUGUUCGCUGCUUGAGAACUCGCUCACCUGGAAAUGUCGAUUUGAUAUAUAUACCCAUAUAUGAUCUGAAGCCAAUCAAUCUCUCUUACUCUCUCGUCGCCUCUAUGAUUCACUUCUGCUAUUCAGCUUUGCGAUUCACCUCCUCUCACUCGUCUCUCUUGCUUUCACUUACGGAGCCUGCAACAAAGUUUUCUCGGAAGCAUUGUUGAAUUUAGUAGGAGACAGUGAACUUUUCAAGACGAGAAAUUCAUUUCAUUUUAUUUUUAUCACGCAUUCAUGUAGAUUGAUCUAUAAACUUCUUUAUAGAAGAAUUUGAAUAUCUUAUAUAUUCAUCCAUAGUGAAGUAAGUUCUGAGAAAAUUUGUGUGCUACGGUGAUAUAAGGAUGAGAACUUGUGUAUUGUUUUAUUGAUUAUAGUUAAAAUUAACAAAUGGUUAAGGUUAAUAAAAUAAGAGAAAUGCUGUCUAAUUUU